UGGGGAAUAUUGGACAAUGGGCGCAAGCCUGAUCCAGCAAUGCCGCGUGUGUGAAGAAGGCCUUCGGGUUGUAAAGCACUUUUAUCAGGAGCGAAACGCUGUCGGCUAAUACCCGGCGGAACUGACGGUACCUGAGGAAUAAGCACCGGCUAACUUCGUGCCAGCAGCCGCGGUAAUACGAAGGGUGCAAGCGUUAAUCGGAAUUACUGGGCGUAAAGCGUGCGUAGGCGGUUUCUUAAGUCUGCUGUGAAAUCCCCGGGCUCAACCUGGGAAUGGCAGUGGAUACUGGGAGGCUAGAGUGUGUCAGAGGGUGGUGGAAUUCCCGGUGUAGCGGUGAAAUGCGUAGAGAUCGGGAGGAACAUCAGUGGCGAAGGCGGCCACCUGGGACAACACUGACGCUGAGGCACGAAGGCGUGGGGAGCAAACAGGAUUAGAUACCCUGGUAGUCCACGCCCUAAACGAUGCGAACUGGAUGUUGGUCUCAACUCGGAGAUCAGUGUCGAAGCUAACGCGUUAAGUUCGCCGCCUGGGGAGUACGGUCGCAAGACUGAAACUCAAAUGAAUUGACGGGGUCAUAGCUGUUUCC
rnacentral:rRNA from 1 species